GUUUGAUCCUGGCUCAGAUUGAACGCUGGCGGCAUGCCUUACACAUGCAAGUCGAACGGCAGCACGGACCUCGGUCUGGUGGCGAGUGGCGAACGGGUGAGUAAUAUAUCGGAACAUACCCUAGAGUGGGGGAUAACGUAGCGAAAGUUACGCUAACACCGCAUACGAACUAAGGUUGAAAGUGGGGGAUCGCAAGACCUCAUGCUCAUGGAGUGGCCGAUAUCUGAUUAGCUAGUUGGUGAGGUAAAGGCUCACCAAGGCGACGAUCAGUAGCUGGUUUGAGAGAACGACCAGCCACACUGGAACUGAGACACGGUCCAGACUCCUACGGGAGGCAGCAGCGGGGAAUUUUGGACAAUGGGCGCAAGCCUGAUCCAGCAAUGCCGCGUGAGUGAAGAAGGCCUUCGGGUUGUAAAGCUCUUUUGUCAGGGAAGAAACGGUAGUCUCUAAUACAGAUUGCUAAUGACGGUACCUGAAGAAUAAGCACCGGCUAACUACGUGCCAGCAGCCGCGGUAAUACGUAGGGUGCAAGCGUUAAUCGGAAUUACUGGGCGUAAAGCGUGCGCAGGCGGUUAUAUAAGUCAGAUGUGAAAUCCCCGGGCUCAACCUGGGAACUGCAUUUGAGACUGUAUGGCUAGAGUGUGUCAGAGGGGGGUAGAAUUCCACGUGUAGCAGUGAAAUGCGUAGAUAUGUGGAGGAAUACCGAUGGCGAAGGCAGCCCCCUGGGAUAACACUGACGCUCAUGCACGAAAGCGUGGGGAGCAAACAGGAUUAGAUACCCUGGUAGUCCACGCCCUAAACGAUGUCUACUAGUUGUCGGGACUUAAUUGUCUUGGUAACGCAGCUAACGCGUGAAGUAGACCGCCUGGGGAGUACGGUCGCAAGAUUAAAACUCAAAGGAAUUGACG
rnacentral:rRNA from 1 species